AGCGAACGCUGGCGGCAGGCCUAACACAUGCAAGUCGAACGAACCCUUCGGGGUUAGUGGCGGACGGGUGAGUAACACGUGGGAACGUGCCUUUAGGUUCGGAAUAACUCAGGGAAACUUGUGCUAAUACCGAAUGUGCCCUUCGGGGGAAAGAUUUAUCGCCUUUAGAGCGGCCCGCGUCUGAUUAGCUAGUUGGUGAGGUAAUGGCUCACCAAGGCUACGAUCAGUAGCUGGUCUGAGAGGAUGACCAGCCACAUUGGGACUGAGACACGGCCCAAAACCCUACGGGAGGCAGCAGUGGGGAAUCUUGCGCGAUGGGCGAAAGCCUGACGCAGCCAUGCCGCGUGGAUGAUGAAGGUCUUAGGAUUGUAAAAUCCUUUCACCGGUGAAGAUAAUGACUGUAGCCGGAGAAGAAGCCCCGGCUAACUUCGUGCCAGCCGCCGCCGUAAUAC
rnacentral:rRNA from 1 species